CCGAGUCGGAGCGGAAGUGGCUUCCCGUCGGGAUCCGUAGGGCGGUGGGGAGCUAGCUGCGGCAGCGACGGUGGCGGUGGUGGCAAAGCUCUGUUCACAGCGUACCGUGUCGGUCCUGCAGCGGUUGCUCAGUACCGGGCGGUAGCAGCAACUGCCACGACUCACGGGGAGAGCUUGGAAGAGCAGCGAGGAACGCCAGGAAAGGGGUGUGUCUGGAGGGACGUGAUAUAUUUGGUGUCGAGAGAAGGACCUGAAACUUGUUCCUCGUAAUAGUUGAUUGCUUUUUCCUCUUUUGAUAACAGAUUCUGGAGACAUUCGACGUCUCCGUUCUCUAUUUUCUCGGCCCUUCUCAGUUUAUUCGUAAACUGAUGUGAGUGAGAGCUUUUUAGUGCAACCUCUGAGUUAAGGUGCGUAUGGGGCGGA
rnacentral:lncRNA from 1 species